rnacentral:rRNA from 1 species
GAAAGUAAAGAAGGGCGCAUGGCGGAUGCCUUGGCUCUCGGAGGCGAUGAAGGACGUGAUAAGCUGCGAUAAGCUUUGGGGAGGUGCAAAUGACCUUUGAUCCAGAGAUUUCCGAAUGGGACAACCCAAUAUCUUGAAGAGGUAUUAUCCAACGUUGUUGGAGGCUAACGCAGGGAACUGAAACAUCUUAGUACCUGCAGGAAAAGAAAAUAAACAAUGAUUCCCCCAGUAGUGGCGAGCGAACGGGGAACAGCCCAAACCAUCCAUGUUACGGCAUGUGUGGGGUUGUAGGACUACGCCGUUGCAUGAAGACAUCAGAGAAGAACUUUCUGGAAAGAAAGACCAUAGAGCAUGACAGUUGCGUAUUCGAAUGUUGUCGAAGCAUAGUAGUAUCCUGAGUAGCGCGGAGCACGAGGAAUUCUGCGUGAAUCUGCCGGGACCAUCCGGUAAGGCUAAAUACUCCCGAGAGACCGAUAGCGAACCAGUACCGUGAGGGAAAGGUGAAAAGCACUUCGAACAGAAGAGUGAAAUAGUUCCUGAAACCGUGCGCCUACAAGCGGUCGGAGCUGCUUAAAGCAGUGACGGCGUGCCUUUUGCAUAAUGAACCUACGAGUUGCCUUUGCCGGCAAGGUUAAGUGUGACGACACACGUAUCCGAAGCGAAAGCGAGUCUGAAGAGGGCGUAUAGUCGGCAGUGGCAGACGCGAAACCAAGUGAUCUACCCUUGGCCAGGUUGAAGGCUGGGUAACACCAGCUGGAGGACCGCACCAAUAAGCGUUGAAAAGCUUCUGGAUGAGCUGAGGGUAGGGGUGAAAGGCUAAUCAAACUUGGAGAUAGCUCGUACUCCCCGAAAUGCAUUUAGGUGCAGCCUUGUGGGUUACUGAUGUGAGGUAGAGCGACUGAUAAGAUGCGAGGGCUUCACCGCCUAUCAAGUCUUGACAAACUCCGAAUGCGCAUCAGUUUUACCUCAGGAGUGAGGGCAUGGGUGCUAAGGUCCGUGCCCGAGAGGAGAAGAAUCCGGACCACCUGCUAAGGUCCCGAAAUGACAGCUAAGUUAAACUAACGAAGUCUGACUGCUAAGACAGCUAGGAUGUUGGCUUGGAAGCAGCCAUUCAUUUAAAGAGUGCGUAACAGCUCACUAGUCGAGGAGUCUGGCGUGGAUAAUAAUCGGGUAUUAAGUUGUCUACCGAAGCAGUGGGAUCAUUGAAAUGAUCGGUAGGGGAGCAUUCCAGUCAGCGUCGAAGGCGUACCGCGAGGUAUUCUGGAGCGUCUGGAAAAGCAAAUGUAGGUAUAAGUAACGAUAAAGGGGGCGGGAAACCCCCUCGCCGAAAGACUAAGGUUUCCUGAUCAACGCUAAUCGGAUCAGGGUAAGUCGGGUCCUAAGGCUCAGCCGAAGGGCGAUGCCGAUGGCAGAAACGGUUAAUAUUCCGUUACUACCUCCAGGAGUGAUGUGGAGACGCAGUAGUGACAAUGCCGCCAUCUGACGGAAUAGAUGGUUGAAGGGUGUAGAUGUUGAUCUUGGCAGGCAAAUCCACCAUGAGAAUCGAACCUGAUAGUAUGCCGCGUCCCUCGGGACAAGGCAAUAGUGCAUGUAAUCAUGCUGCCAAGAAAAUCCGCUAAACUAAAUCCUGUAGGUACCCGUACCGUAAACGGACACACGUAGUCGGGAUGAAUAUUCUAAGGCGCUUGAGUGAUUCACGGUUAAGGAACUAGGCAAACUGACCCUGUAACUUCGGGAUAAAGGGUCCCUACCCGGUGACGGGAGGGCGCAGAGAAUAGGUCCAGGCAACUGUUUAACAAAAACACAGGGCUGUGCUAAAUCGAAAGAUCCUGUAUACAGCCUGACACCUGCCCGGUGCUGGAAGGUUAAGAGGAGACGUCAUCGUUGAGAGAAGCGUUGAAUUGAAGCCCCAGUAAACGGCGGCCGUAACUAUAACGGUCCUAAGGUAGCGAAAUUCCUUGUCGGGUAAGUUC